GGGCCCGCACAAGCGGUGGAGUAUGUGGUUUAAUUCGAUGCAACGCGAAGAACCUUACCAGGGUUUGACAUCCUGCGAAUCUCUUGGAAACUUGAGAGUGCCUUCGGGAGCGCAGUGACAGGUGGUGCAUGGCUGUCGUCAGCUCGUGUCGUGAGAUGUUGGGUUAAGUCCCGCAACGAGCGCAACCCACGUCUUUAGUUGCCAGCAUUUAGUUGGGCACUCUAUGGAAACUGCCCGUGAUAAGCGGGAGGAAGGUGUGGAUGACGUCAAGUCCUCAUGGCCUUACGGGUUGGGCUACACACGUGCUACAAUGGUAGUGACAAUGGGUUAAUCCCAAAAAUGCUAUCU
rnacentral:rRNA from 1 species